GCUUUGGAGAAAACACGCAGAUCGACUUUCUCUUUGUGCGGCCGGAGACAAUGACGUUUGAGCUCCAUCUCAUGCCUGAAACUGUCCAUUUAUGGCUUCGUCUUCAAUCGCAUUAAUUCUCUCAUCCACGAUGUGUCUUUGAAGCGCUGAUUAUAUCUCAGAGACGGUGUGUGUUCAAUAUAAAUAUGUGUGAGAUUUCUCGCUUGAACUCAUCAUCUCUUCGCAAUUCUUUUAUUUCCACACAUAGACUUCGAUAUGGCUAAUUCAAAGGGGUUUUUUUCCCCGAUUUGAAGUCCGGUAAGAGUCCGUCGUCGAGGCUCGGCUCCUGCUUACACCAUUCAGACUUACAAGCUACAAGCAUAAACUACUUACGCAUCACCUUUAGAUAUGUUGGCUUCGUAUGUUAUUUUCACUAACGUGAAAGCAGGACGUUGCUCAAACUCAAACACAGCCAAGGUGUGUCUUUAACACUCUUCUCAAUGAACAAGUAUCUAAUUUUUUGAAUCCUUCACCUGUUUAACCUACAUGUGUUUUGGGUUAGACUUAUUGUUCUUGAUUAUCCAUUCAUAUAAGCUUUUGAAAAAUGGGUUGUCUUAUUGGAUUCAGGGCAUCAUUGAAUGGUACUGGUCUAGCAGCAAUGUUGUGUUCUUGGAUGCUUUAGAAAUUCAGAUCUAUUGGUGUUUGAUUUUAACAGGGAAAUCGAGAAAAUGUAGAAAUUUAUAUCGCAGAUUACAUAUACCCUGCUUUUGAUCUGGUGAGUGUUCCCAUCUUUAAAAAAUGGGUUUUUCUCUUUUAAGAUUGAUAAGUGGAAGCUUGAUCAAGAGAAAGCAUGGCUUUUUUUCUCUGUCAUGAAAAUUGGUUUAUUAAGUCAUCUCUGUUUUAAUAGAACAUUUGAAGCUUGAUCGUGGUUACUAAUAAUUCUUUAGAGUCUUCACCAUCAAUGAUUUGAUGCUUUUGCUUAAAGAGUUUGACUCUAUUUCUCAUACUUUGUCUCUGCUUUCGAGUAAUCUAUGAUCUGAAAUCAGGAUCUUUCAUUCCUCCAUGAUUGAUGAUACACUGUGUUUUGUAAACUCAGAGAGUUAGAGAAUUAUCUAGCCACCUACAUUUUCUGAGAUACUCUGCUCCAAUCUCAAAGAGGAAGAAAAAGAACAAAAAGAAUAAGAUGAAAAGAGUAAAAGGAAGAAGAGGAAACACGAGUCUGAUUGGAAAAGAGUCCAAUCUCAAAAUCGUUAAAGUCUUUUUGUGAAAGUUCCAAAAAUGGCAAAUAAACAGCUUUAUUUCUCUUAGUUCAAGGCUGGUUGGUGGAGAACUGGGAAGGUGAAGAAAGAUGGAGAGCUGAUGAGAGUUGAUCCUCUAUUGGUUGACGGAAAAGUAAGGACUAAGAAGGAUUACUUGCUGAUUUUUCUUCAGAAUAUUGGUAUCUGGGAUGAUUUUUUAGACAUGUUUUUGGAACCAUUGACUAAAGAUCGUUUUGUCUGUUUUGGUGAGAGUUGAUUUGUUACUACAGUGAACAGUGGUGGUUUUCUUAUACAAAGCGAUGGUGUUUUAAGCUCUGAGGAAUGUUUAACUGAUUUACAUAAAUGAAUUAGUCUGAGAAUAAAUUUCAGAUCCUCCAGUGCAUAGACAUCUUCAUCGAAGAACAUAAAUAGUGGGC
rnacentral:lncRNA from 1 species